UAGGAAUGUCAACGAGUCAACUCGGAGCAGAUUAUCAAAAAUAUGAAUCUGAACCAGACGACCAAAAUCGAAACCUGAACUUGAACUCGAACCUUAAUUCGAAUCCAAAUCCGACCAAGUUUGAAAAUCCAAAUCCAAAACCGAACCCAACCGCCGAAACCAGACUCCGAAUCCGAAAUAAUUAUUCUUUUCACCGUACUUCAAAAUAUAAUAUUACAUUAAAAUCUAAUGUUUACAUUUUAAAUACAAUAUUAAAUAUUUAUUAUUCGGGUUCGGGUUCAAUACAAACAAAGUUUAUAUCUGAGUCCGAAUCCGUCGAGUUUUUAUUUUUCAUAUUCGUAUCUGAAACCAUUUUUAUUUAACAUCAGG
rnacentral:lncRNA from 1 species